rnacentral:tRNA from 2 species
UGGACUGAAGUUCUCUGGGUUGAAUGUUUAGUUGUUAACUAAAAGGUCGUGGGAUAAAAGCCCAUCAGUCUAG